rnacentral:rRNA from 1 species
GGGUUGUGAGGUUAAGCGACUAAGCGUACACGGUGGAUGCCCUGGCAGUCAGAGGCGAUGAAGGACGUGCUAAUCUGCGAUAAGCGUCGGUAAGGUGAUAUGAACCGUUAUAACCGGCGAUUUCCGAAUGGGGAAACCCAGUGUGUUUCGACACACUAUCAUUAACUGAAUCCAUAGGUUAAUGAGGCGAACCGGGGGAACUGAAACAUCUAAGUACCCCGAGGAAAAGAAAUCAACCGAGAUUCCCCCAGUAGCGGCGAGCGAACGGGGAGGAGCCCAGAGCCUGAAUCAGUGUGUGUGUUAGUGGAAGCGUCUGGAAAGGCGCGCGAUACAGGGUGACAGCCCCGUACACAAAAAUGCACAUAUUGUGAGCUCGAUGAGUAGGG